UACGUAGGGGGCAAGCGUUGUCCGGAAUCAUUGGGCGUAAAGCGCGUGUAGGCGGCUCGAUAAGUCUGCUGUGAAAGUCCAGGGCUCAACCCUGGGAUGCCGGUGGAUACUGUCGGGCUAGAGUGCGGAAGAGGCGAGUGGAAUUCCUGGUGUAGCGGUGAAAUGCGCAGAUAUCAGGAGGAACACCGAUUGCGAAGGCAGCUCGCUGGGACGUCACUGACGCUGAGACGCGAAAGCGUGGGGAGCAAACAGG
rnacentral:rRNA from 1 species